AGUGUGGACCAAUGGACACAGAGUUUGCAGGUGUGGUGCUGUUGAAGGACAAAUCUCACCCCCAAGCCUAGAAUCUCAAGAACCCAGACUGUUCCGGGAUGGGAGUGAGAAGAUUUCAGGAUCGGCACAGCGGCCUUAUCUACGUACGCCUUCAUGUUGCUAACCACCUAAGGACACUAGACUCUGGAUCCAGUACAAGCCCAUCCCAUCAUGAGCCAAGACUGCCUGGAGAGACUGCUGGGACCAUCCUGAUGCCGAGAGAGGAAAUGAAGCUUGUGGUGGAGCAAACCUUCCCGAGAGGGAAAGCAUGAGCGAGAACUCAGGAAGACUAGGUCGCAGGAAGUCCAGCCUUCUUAUUUCAGAGGAACACUGGGAGUCAGGUGAGAUAGAGAUACCACCAUGCUGGAUGGAUGUACUUACAGGGCGGCAGGCU